AUUGAACGCUGGCGGCAUGCCUUACACAUGCAAGUCGAACGGUAACAGGUCUUCGGAUGCUGACGAGUGGCGAACGGGUGAGUAAUACAUCGGAACGUGCCCGAGAGUGGGGGAUAACGAGGCGAAAGCUUUGCUAAUACCGCAUACGAUCUCAGGAUGAAAGCAGGGGACCGCAAGGCCUUGCGCUCACGGAGCGGCCGAUGGCAGAUUAGGUAGUUGGUGGGACAAAAGCUUACCAAGCCGACGAUCUGUAGCUGGUCUGAGAGGACGACCAGCCACACUGGGACCGGGAGACGGCCCAGACUCCUACGGGAGGCAGCAGUGGGGAAUUUUGGACAAUGGGCGCAAGCCUGAUCCAGCCAUGCCGCGUGCAGGAUGAAGGCCUUCGGGUUGUAAACUGCUUUUGUACGGAACGAAAAGACUCUGGUUAAUACCUGGGGUCCAUGACGGUACCGUAAGAAUAAGCACCGGCUAACUACGUGCCAGCCGCCGCCGUAACAC
rnacentral:rRNA from 1 species